UAGAUUAAAGUCCGUUUGGUUUGGGCAGCUAGUUGUUAACUAGUCUUUUGUGGGAUCGAGGCCCGCUGAUCUAG
rnacentral:tRNA from 2 species